AAUACCAAAGCUCAGCAGUGAUCUUCCUUCUAGAGGCUUGUUGGAACUCCAAACACAUACCCCUGACAGAUACAACAGGGAUUAAUGAGCCAUGACCAGAAGUUUGAUUUUUCUGUCAAGUGCUCCCAUCCGUCUUUAAUAAACAGAAGAACAACAUAAACUCCAUUGCCUGCUUUCCACUGCUGAAACUGAGCUGGCUGUUCCUGGUACCAUGUGUGUUGAGCUGAGUUACGAUUCUAAAUGACUUGACAAACGCUUUUACAAGCCCCUUUGGUCUGCUACUCUGGUGACUGGCUUUGCUCCCCAAGUUCCAUUUCUUUGCCUCUGUUCAACGUGGGCAGCUCAGUGCUUUGCCAGUGGAAACCGUCAAAUAAGGCUGUCUCCUGCGAGGACCAGAAGUUGAGCCAAGGCACAUGGAACUUACAAUAGCAGAUGGGCAGAAGGAGAACUCCUGAAGCCUCCGAAGGAAGGAAAUCAUUACAGGGCCCUACAGAAGUAGGUCAUGUGCUACAGCUGCUCAUAGUUUAAGAGGAAGAAACAUAGGACCUCAAACCUGGAACACGACUCUUUCAAAAUGCUUGUGAGCAACCCAAGAAAAACAUCCUCCUGAGGCUUAUCUAAUAACCAUGAUCUCUAAUCGUCUCAAUGUGUGCUCAUGUUUCCUUAGGAGUUUGCACCCACUUCUCAGAGCUAACGAGAUGCCGAAACAGAACACAGAGAAAAGUAAUGAAGGAGAUUUAAUAGUUUGUGUUAAAGCUAAUAUGGUCCAUUAGGAGCCGUCAUUUUUAUAAACAGUGAGGAUACGUUACCCUCUUCUUUGGUGUAAAGUCAUUCCAUGCAGGACCUGUAAACAUUCAGUAAUGAUCUGUAGAACAUGCAUGAACGACAAUUAAAGCGCCACUUGAAA
rnacentral:lncRNA from 1 species